AUACCUUUCUCGGCCUUUUGGCUAAGAUCAAGUGUAGUAUCUGUUCUUAUCAGUUUAAUAUCUGAUAUGUGGGUCAUGUGCCCACUUCGAUAUUAAAUUUAUUUUUUGUGGGGGAGGGUCCACUACAGUGGCUUGCCACUGGAGCCCUCACGCGUCGCCCAGGCGUUGCACUGCUGCCCGGGCCUGGCGCACCCCAG
rfam:Oryza glaberrima chromosome 2 Oglab02_0441_4, whole genome shotgun sequence.